rnacentral:rRNA from 1 species
UGCGGUAAUCUGACCGUGCAAAGGUAGCAUAAUCAAUAGUCUUUUAAUUGAAGGCUUGUAUGAACGGCUAGAUGAGAGAAAUUCUGUCUUUUUUUAAGGUUAAAAUUUGACUUUUGAGUGAAAAGGCUCAAAUUAUAUGGGGGGACGAUAAGACCCUAUAAAACUUUAUAUAAAUAUAGGUUUUUUUUAAUUUUACUAAAAUAUUAGAGAUCCUUAUUUAUAUUUUGUUGGGGAGACAUUGAUAUAAGCAGUAACUGUCUGAUUAAAAAUAAUAAUGAUAUUUAUAAAGUGAACCCUCACUGAGGAUUAAAAGAAUAAGUUACUUUAGGGAUAACAGCGUAAUUUUUUCUGAGAGUUCCUAUCGAAGGAAGUAGUUGCGACCUCGAUGUUGAAUUAA